GUGACUUUUGGUAAGUUUUUUAUCUCUCCCUUAGCUUCUGUGUCUUCAUCUAUAAAUUGAAGUCAAUCGAAUCUACUCCACAGGGCAAUUUUAAGAAUUAAAUAAAUAAUAGUAGAAGUUAAAGGAGAAGAAAAUGAGAUCUUUCCAAGCCUUCCUGAAAGAAAAUGAGAAAUACGUCAUUGGCUCUGAAAGCACAAAUGUGAUGAAGCUGAGACCAGGCCUUGCAAGGAAGGCUGAUUGACAGGAUGUGAAGCUGAUGCAGGGCCAUUUGUUGGGGUGAUACUGCAGAGCACCAGCUGGGUCUGUAGAUAGAGGCAAGUAAUGACAGUGCUGCCUCUCACCUCUCCCAUCAUCUUGUGCCUUCCUGUGUGCCUAAAGUCAAGAGGACUUUACUUGUGUUUGGGGCCUUCUCUGAUUAACACAAGGCAGUGGCAGGGAUGGGGGCAGCAGAAAAAGAAAGAAGCAUCUUGUGACCCAGGAAGACAGUGGCCUUGGCAUAUUUGUAUAUAAUUUAG
rnacentral:lncRNA from 1 species